rnacentral:rRNA from 1 species
GAUUAAGUUAUUAAGGGCGCACGGUGGAUGCCUUGGCACUAGAAGCCGAUGAAGGACGUUACUAACGACGAUAUGCUUUGGGGAGCUGUAAGUAAGCUUUGAUCCAGAGAUUUCCGAAUGGGGAAACCCAGCAUGAGUUAUGUCAUGUUAUCGAUAUGUGAAUACAUAGCAUAUCAGAAGGCACACCCGGAGAACUGAAACAUCUUAGUACCCGGAGGAAGAGAAAGAAAAUUCGAUUCCCUUAGUAGCGGCGAGCGAAACGGGAAGAGCCCAAACCAACAAGCUUGCUUGUUGGGGUUGUAGGACACUCUAUACGGAGUUACAAAGGACGACAUUAGACGAAUCAUCUGGAAAGAUGAAUCAAAGAAGGUAAUAAUCCUGUAGUCGAAAAUGUUGUCUCUCUUGAGUGGAUCCUGAGUACGACGGAGCACGUGAAAUUCCGUCGGAAUCUGGGAGGACCAUCUCCUAAGGCUAAAUACUCUCUAGUGACCGAUAGUGAACCAGUACCGUGAGGGAAAGGUGAAAAGCACCCCGGAAGGGGAGUGAAAUAGAACCUGAAACCGUGUGCUUACAAGUAGUCAGAGCCCGUUAAUGGGUGAUGGCGUGCCUUUUGUAGAAUGAACCGGCGAGUUACGAUUUGAUGCAAGGUUAAGCAGUAAAUGUGGAGCCGUAGCGAAAGCGAGUCUGAAUAGGGCGUUUAGUAUUUGGUCGUAGACCCGAAACCAGGUGAUCUACCCUUGGUCAGGUUGAAGUUCAGGUAACACUGAAUGGAGGACCGAACCGACUUACGUUGAAAAGUGAGCGGAUGAACUGAGGGUAGCGGAGAAAUUCCAAUCGAACCUGGAGAUAGCUGGUUCUCUCCGAAAUAGCUUUAGGGCUAGCCUCAAGUGAUGAUUAUUGGAGGUAGAGCACUGUUUGGACGAGGGGCCCCUCUCGGGUUACCGAAUUCAGACAAACUCCGAAUGCCAAUUAAUUUAACUUGGGAGUCAGAACAUGGGUGAUAAGGUCCGUGUUCGAAAGGGAAACAGCCCAGACCACCAGCUAAGGUCCCAAAAUAUAUGUUAAGUGGAAAAGGAUGUGGCGUUGCCCAGACAACUAGGAUGUUGGCUUAGAAGCAGCCAUCAUUUAAAGAGUGCGUAAUAGCUCACUAGUCGAGUGACACUGCGCCGAAAAUGUACCGGGGCUAAACAUAUUACCGAAGCUGUGGAUUGUCCUUUGGACAAUGGUAGGAGAGCGUUCUAAGGGCGUUGAAGCAUGAUCGUAAGGACAUGUGGAGCGCUUAGAAGUGAGAAUGCCGGUGUGAGUAGCGAAAGACGGGUGAGAAUCCCGUCCACCGAUUGACUAAGGUUUCCAGAGGAAGGCUCGUCCGCUCUGGGUUAGUCGGGUCCUAAGCUGAGGCCGACAGGCGUAGGCGAUGGAUAACAGGUUGAUAUUCCUGUACCACCUAUAAUCGUUUUAAUCGAUGGGGGGACGCAGUAGGAUAGGCGAAGCGUGCGAUUGGAUUGCACGUCUAAGCAGUAAGGCUGAGUAUUAGGCAAAUCCGGUACUCGUUAAGGCUGAGCUGUGAUGGGGAGAAGACAUUGAGUCUUCGAGUCGUUGAUUUCACACUGCCGAGAAAAGCCUCUAGAUAGAAAAUAGGUGCCCGUACCGCAAACCGACACAGGUAGUCAAGAUGAGAAUUCUAAGGUGAGCGAGCGAACUCUCGUUAAGGAACUCGGCAAAAUGACCCCGUAACUUCGGGAGAAGGGGUGCUCUUUAGGGUUAACGCCCAGAAGAGCCGCAGUGAAUAGGCCCAAGCGACUGUUUAUCAAAAACACAGGUCUCUGCUAAACCGUAAGGUGAUGUAUAGGGGCUGACGCCUGCCCGGUGCUGGAAGGUUAAGAGGAGUGGUUAGCUUCUGCGAAGCUACGAAUCGAAGCCCCAGUAAACGGCGGCCGUAACUAUAACGGUCCUAAGGUAGCGAAAUUCCUUGUCGGGUAAGUUCCGACCCGCACGAAAGGCGUAACGAUUUGGGCACUGUCUCAACGAGAGACUCGGUGAAAUCAUAGUACCUGUGAAGAUGCAGGUUACCCGCGACAGGACGGAAAGACCCCGUGGAGCUUUACUGUAGCCUGAUAUUGAAAUUCGGCACAGCUUGUACAGGAUAGGUAGGAGCCUUUGAAACGUGAGCGCUAGCUUACGUGGAGGCGCUGGUGGGAUACUACCCUAGCUGUGUUGGCUUUCUAACCCGCACCACUUAUCGUGGUGGGAGACAGUGUCAGGCGGGCAGUUUGACUGGGGCGGUCGCCUCCUAAAAGGUAACGGAGGCGCUCAAAGGUUCCCUCAGAAUGGUUGGAAAUCAUUCAUAGAGUGUAAAGGCAUAAGGGAGCUUGACUGCGAGACCUACAAGUCGAGCAGGGUCGAAAGACGGACUUAGUGAUCCGGUGGUUCCGCAUGGAAGGGCCAUCGCUCAACGGAUAAAAGCUACCCCGGGGAUAACAGGCUUAUCUCCCCCAAGAGUUCACAUCGACGGGGAGGUUUGGCACCUCGAUGUCGGCUCAUCGCAUCCUGGGGCUGUAGUCGGUCCCAAGGGUUGGGCUGUUCGCCCAUUAAAGCGGUACGCGAGCUGGGUUCAGAACGUCGUGAGACAGUUCGGUCCCUAUCCGUCGUGGGCGUAGGAAAUUUGAGAGGAGCUGUCCUUAGUACGAGAGGACCGGGAUGGACAUACCUCUGGUGUACCAGUUGUCGUGCCAACGGCAUAGCUGGGUAGCUAUGU